rnacentral:rRNA from 1 species
AUGAGCUUUUGGGGAGCAACAGUAAUUACAAGCUUAGCUAGCGCCAUACCAGUAGUAGGAGAUACCAUAGUGACUUGGCUUUGGGGUGGUUUCUCCGUGGACAAUGCCACCUUAAAUCGUUUUUUUAGUCUCCAUCAUUUACUCGCCCUUGUUCUUCCUUUUGAUUUAAACGUUCUCCCCCCGGGAGCUGCAGAAUUCUGGCAGGGGCAGCCCCCUUUUCCAGAUCAUGAAAAUGUGGUGGAGAGUGAUGAUUCAUCAACUGAUUCAUCAGGGAGUUCAUCUGAUGAUUCAUCAACUGAUUCAUCAGGGAGUUCAUCUGAUGAUUCAUCAACUGAUUCAUCGGAUCUCGACACGGAUUAUGAUGAGCUAACUGAUGAUUCAUCAACUGAUUCAUCAGGGAGUUCAUCUGAUGAUAUGGACUGCUCUGAAGGAACACCCCCCCCCCCUGAAGGGAAUGAAAGCCGUCUGAUAAUCUUUCUAUAG